rnacentral:lncRNA from 1 species
AGUCAAAAAUACUUUUGGACGCAGCAAGAGAGGCAGUGCACCCGGUAGAGGAAGCCGCACUGGAAUUCUAGGCAUCAAAUGUUUCCUCGUCCCCAUCGAGUUGUGUCUUGCCCCACUCAAGCCUUCCCCUGGUAAAGCUUGAGACAUGCAAAGGAGAAGUAGGAAAACCAGCUUCAGGAUCCUAGGCGCCAUGCUGCAAAAGAAGGCUGCAUAAAAGGGUGAAAGGUGAUAAUAAACAAUACCUCGUCCCCUUGCCUCUCUUCAUGCUGUACCCACUCCACUUCGACUCCACUUUGACUCCAUUUCCUAUGAACAGUGUCCAACUCCAGAUUGCUAUAUUCACUCCACUUCAUCUGCACACUUACCACACUUCAUCUGCGCAUUUUGC